GAAGUGGUAGUUCAGCAGUUAAGACCUUGGACUUAUGAUCGGAAGGUCGUGAGUUCAAAUCCCAGCACUGCC